rnacentral:lncRNA from 1 species
GAGGUGGUGGUCCAUUUGGAGUUUGAGCUACAGGGAACAAUGGUCGAGGAGGAGGGGGAGCAGAACCUGGAGGGAGAGGAGGACGAAUAGGAAAAAGAGGUUGCGGUGGAGGUUGAGAAGGAGGGGAAGGUCGUUGUCCUUGAAUAGGAAAAAGAGGCUGAGGAGGUUGAGGCAUGCGAGGUGGGCCUGGUUGGCCGUGUAGAGGACCGCCCCAUCCUUGCGGCGGUGGAGGUUGUGGCUGCCAAUUCGAAGGUGG